UUUGACACAGACAGGACUCGAUACAGAGCC
rnacentral:piRNA from 1 species